rnacentral:lncRNA from 1 species
UGAGAGGUUUCAUUCUCCUCUGCAUUCUUGCGCCAGUGGUUUUCUUCCUUGCUCGGGGACUCUACGCUACUGGUUAGUUCGGUUAAUGUUUUAAUUUUGUUUAUUGAUUGUUGUUUUGUGCGUUUGAAGAUCUGUGUAGAUUGUAAUAUUGAGUAGUUUAGUGUUUUUGAAUGGUUUUUGGUUUAGUUGUUGUUUUAGUGUUAAGUGUCUGUGGUAGUUGUAUGUUGAGUGAUUAGUUGGAAGGGCGUGUGUGACUUUGAGAGUUGCUUUGUGAGAGUAAGUGUAAUGCUUGGACAAGUGUCUUUUGGAACCUAUGACACUCAAACCAUUCAUGCUCUAAA